rnacentral:misc_RNA from 1 species
GGAGGCAUCGAUUUUUAAGGGGCGGGGGAGAGGGUGAGAGAUAUAGGAAGGGGGGGGGGGGUGAAAAGGGCAAGAGGAAGAUGACGGGACUCGGUGCCGAUGGCGGCAGAGCUCAGGAGAGUUGAGCAGCGGCGGUGGAGCAGCGGGGAUGGAGUAGUGUUGGUGGUGAGAAACAUAAGAAACCUGGUGGCGCCGCCCAUUUUCCUGGUAAAUUAGGGGUGGAAAUGCAUAAGGGGCAGUCAGCAAGGAGCGAUGAUGACGGACGACGGUGGCGCUAAAACCCCAGUGGUGGUGGACUG